rnacentral:rRNA from 1 species
UACAGAGGGGGCAAGCGUUGUUCGGAAUUACUGGGCGUAAAGGGCGCGUAGGCGGCCUUCUAAGUCAGACGUGAAAUCCCUCGGCUCAACCGGGGAACUGCGUCUGAGACUGGAAGGCUUGAAUCCGGGAGAGGGAUGUGGAAUUCCAGGUGUAGCGGUGAAAUGCGUAGAUAUCAGGAGGAACACCGGUGGCGAAGGCGGGUCUCUGGGCCGAUACUGACGCUGAGGAGCGAAAGCGUGGGGAGCGAACAGG